CGGAAGAGAGGCGACCGUCAAGCCCAUCCGGCAUACAGUAGUUUAUAGCAUGUAAUCGACAGCUUAACUCAUAUUCAUAUCGAAACAUCGAUGCCAAAUGUUUUGAGUUUCUUUCGUCAUUGGAGUUGUACGGCUUCGCCAGUUGGGGCCGGUCCCUGCCCAGGGAAAUCAGCAGUGAAGGAACGUAUACAUAUGCAGCUUAGAAGAACGGGUGUCCGCAAGAUGCCUGAUGAAAUUUAAUGUUCAAAAAGUUGUUACCUGUUGUUAUCGAACCGUAAACAGUAGUAUUGUGUUAUAACUCUGCUUUGUUUAGAUGGAACAGCUGUAGAUCGGAACUAGAUGAAUGCUUUGCGUGCAAUCAGACUGACACGCGUUUAAUAGUCUCGAACGCUCGCGACAGUAUAUGCAACCAUCUCCGGUGCUGGGACCUUCACAAGCGCCUCGGUUAUUUGAGGAUACGUCGACAUAUGGGAAUCAGCCGCCCGUGUCAACGCCCUACGCCUCCGCUCCACAUGCUGCGCCUUCCGGCCUUCCUUCGGCAUCCAGCCAACAGGAAGGCGGCUGGCAAAGUUACGACAUGGAAAUGAUGGCUGAGUAUACUCCGACACAACAAUCUCUACCGCCGUAUGACCCGUUUGGCCAACCACAACAGCAUGGAUUUAACAACAAUCCAGCCAUGCCCACAGGAAUAAACAUGCAGAAUCCUUAUGGUGGACCAAACAUAGCUGGAGGGCCCCUUUCAACUGGAGCUCAGAUGGGACAGUCAGGGCCUCAGCAACAGCAGCAGAUCUUCAAUCCUCAACAAUUCCUUAAUGACCCGAUGACUUCGAUGGCCUUCCAUUACGGCAACGCAAUAGCUGGUCAUAGUCGAGAAAUUGUAAACGAAAAAAUUGAAAAAUAUGUGUCUAUUAGCAAACUCAAGUACUAUUUUGCUGUUGAUACGUCUUACGUUUCACAAAAGCUUUUCCUUCUCCUCUUCCCAUUCAUUCAUAAGGACUGGGCACCGAAAUACAAUCAGGAUGUACCUGUGCCUCCUCGGUAUGAUGUCAACGCUCCGGACCUUUAUAUCCCUACGAUGGCUUUUGUAUCGUACAUUCUGCUAUCAGCCUACAUGAUGGGCUUGGAGGAUAGAUUCUCUCCGGAAGUGCUAGGUGUUCAGGCAAGCUCUAGCAUAGCUGCAAUGACGGUAGAAACCGUAAUCAUAAUGGCUGCCCUGUACGUGAUGAAUAUCAACACCUAUCUGAAGUUCUACGAUUUGAUUGCAUUCUGUGGAUACAAAUUCGUAGCUAUGUUGGUCGUACUUCUUACGUCGCUGCUUGCAGGUAUGACAGGGUACUUGCUAGCCGUAGCAUAUUGUUCGGCUACCCUCGGAUUUUUCCUCUUGAGAACCCUACGCAUCGCCUUUCUGUCAAACCCUGGCACGGGGCAUUUUGGCGAGGGGUCCCGUCGUUCACUGUACGUCCUUCUUGCCGUGUGUCUGUUCCAGCCAUUUGUCAUCUGGUACAUGACUCAUUCACUACUGCUGGCGACAGCUAAGGGUUCAGCUAGCCGUGCGACUGCGGGUAGCUAAUAAUAGUAAUAAUAAUAAUAAUGGGCGAAGCCGUCGUGCGAGAGCAAUGCGCAAUAAAUAGAAUUGCUCCCACAAAUGUUAAGAGAAAAAUAGAGUGGCGACUGAUCGGAAGGAGCUGUACGGAGUUCAAUAGAGGCGGCAAAACGCACGUCUACAGUAAUGGCGAAGAUGCUGGACGAAGACGUUAUCUGUACUCAAAGUAUGGGUGCGACGAAAUAGGGAAAAGAACCCGACCGAACAGUACGUACGACGGUGGGAAGGUAGCAAAAAAAAAGGUAGAAAAUGAAAGUUUUAUGUGCCACCUACCCAUCGAUGAAUUUCAAAGACGACGAUCGAUGGUUGAGUCGCCGCGCCAUUGGGAAUAGGAAAAUGUUAUUGAGAACAGCAAACCAAUAAGUAAACAAGUGCAGCGUAUGAUAUGUAUAUUUAUAUUUGAAAUAAAUAAGUACAAUUAUAAUGUGAUUUUUUAAUAGAA